rnacentral:rRNA from 1 species
ACUACGGGAGGCAGCAGUGGGGAAUAUUGCACAAUGGGGGAAACCCUGAUGCAGCGACGCCGCGUGAGUGAAGAAGUAUUUCGGUAUGUAAAGCUCUAUCAGCAGGGAAGAAAUACUGACCUUACGGUCAGCAGACGGUACCUGACUAAGAAGCCCCGGCUAACUACGUGCCAGCAGCCGCGGUAAGACGGAGGGGGAAAGCGUAAUCCGGAUUUACUGGGUGUAAAGGGAGCGUAGACGGCAGCGCAAGUCUGAAGUGAAAUCCCAUGGCUUACCCAUGGAACUGCUUUGGAAAUUGUGCAGCUGGAGUGCAGGAGAGGUAAGCGGAAUUCCUAGUGUAGCGGUGAAAUGCGUAGAUAUUAGGAGGAACACCAGUGGCGAAGGCGGCUUACUGGACUGUAACUGACGUUGAGGCUCGAAAGCGUGGGGAGCAAACAGGAUUAGAUACCCGGGUAGUC